GGGGUUGUGGCUCAGCGGUAGAGUGCUCGCCUAGCAUGUGUGAGGCCCUGGGUUCAAUCCUCAGCACCA
rnacentral:tRNA from 1 species